AAUUCAAUCACUUUUUGUUAAUUCUUGGAAUUUUUAGUUGUCCUGCUUCUCCACACUUUCUCCACUUUCUGUCUCUUCUGCUGCCUUAUAAGUUGCACUAAACAAAUUUGCGGCAGAACUUCAAACAAAUUUUGCGACCAAAUUUUAACCCCAACUUGUUAUCUGAAAGUUGAACAGAUGUGGAUAGAGAUUAUAUGGCAAGAGUGAUUCUGGGAUUGCUUGCGUUGGGAGGAAUUGGUUUUUUGAGGAAAAGACUGAAAGAGGAGGAGAAAGCUUCAACUAACGUUCAUGAGGCAAAGGUGGAUUAUGACAAUUAAAGAUGCUGUUAAGACAAGAUAUCUGUUUGCUUCUAUGCCUACAUUACGGUUCAGCCUUGACAUGUUUCUCGUUAACUAUUUAGAUAACACACUUCCCAACAGAGACGCAGAUAUUCAGAGACCUUAGGAUGUUAGCCUUCCUACUUGAAAGCACAUACGACUUUGACAUAGUCAAAGUUUUUCCCAU